CUGUGUUUCUCAGCCUCCACUUCCUUCUUUGCCAUACUUCCAUUCCCAGUUCCCUGAACUCCUGCUUUCCUCUCCUCUGCCCUCCUUUUCUUUAUCCACUGUGAUCUCUAGGUUUUUUCUGUACUGCUGCUUUUCUCUCCCCUGUUUCUUUCAUGUUGCUUCACCACAAAAUUUCAACUCCAGAUUUCAUGGCGUCUUUCCUUCCUCUCUCAAGCCACUAACACACAGAAUCCCCAUCAAGUCCCAGAAUGUGCGGGCAGCUGACUCCUGAUGGGCAGGCUUCCAGCUUUGCAAGAGAGCAGCUUCCGUCUCCAACCAGUAGGCCAUGGAGCAAAGGUGAGAGGGUGUCAGCUGGUAGCAUGGAAUUUGGAUACAUGUUUUCAGGUGUGUUUGGACAAGGAACUGGGGUGAGAUGAGAACUCUUCUACCAUCACAUUACCUUGUGAAGGGCAGAAUCACUCUCUUUCGUCUCUCACAACUGUUUCUAUAUUACACGAAUCCUUUCUGGAUAGAAGAAAUCAUGGUGAAUGUGUGAAAUCCCCUAGGCAGCAUCUUACCUGUGGAAUCUUGUAGAUGCCCAAGAUGUUUGCCAGGUAGAUGGAGAUAUCCAAGUCCAGUCCUCCAAUAACUGCCACCAGGUGUUUCUGAAUGUUGCACUUGUAGUUGGGAACAAGUGUGGAGGGAAGGUUCAGAGCAGCCCAGUAGGUCAUCCUUUCAUCGAAGUAACUGUCAUAGAUGUGGAAUCCCAGUGUAAUAUUAGGUAAGAUCUUGGGGUUCUCAUUGAUCUCCUUGACCGCAAAUACCAAGGCCAGAAUAUGCUGGUAGUUCUUUGGCACAAUACUGCAACAAGAAUUUUAUGCUGUAUCAUUGAGAGAUGUGCUAUGCAUGUUUUUCAGUGGCCUCUUUAUGAUUCUUGAGUUUUUUAGCGUAAAUUUUGCCCUAAUAUACACAUAUCUGCAGAACAAUUUCCCCUAAAAGAGCAGAAUUUCAGCUUAAUGUAGGGCUCAUUCAGACUUUCCCACUCCUGCCAUUUUUCUGCAGGAAAAUCAUAUCUUUACCACUCAAUUGGAACUCAAACCUCCCUCAUAACGUCUCCCAACUAACAGUUAACUGACAUUUCUUCACUGAUCACUACCUUCAGCUGAAUACAGUCGGAAUGUAUCUAUUCCAGGCCCUGUCUAUAAAUAUUAAAGACAAUCAUCUAGCCUGACUUGGAUGAGAACAUCAGGGGUUAUUUGAGCAUCACCUCAAAGGAGAGGUAAGCCUUUAAUACCCCUCACACGAGAGUUUCUGAGGUGAAGAUUAAGAACAGAGAAGAGCUUUCCAUCUUAAACUAAGGUUUAAUCUUUGAGUCCUCCUCUUGUUAAACUCUCCUUGGAAGAGAUUUGGUGGGAUGUGGGGAGGACAGAACACAUCAACAAGACCAGGCUCUCUCAUCUCACUGACACAUUCAGAUCUGCAUUUCCCUUCAGUGGAAGUAAAUCCAACUGAAAUCAGGGGAACUAGCUUCUGAUUAGGCCUGGUUAGAGCUGGAGGAUAUUUCAGUAUCAUUUGACAUUUGAUGUCUUUACAGGGUAUUAAGGCGCUGGUGGAUAGUUAGCCUUUCUUUGAAGUCUUCUUUGUCAAAAGCAGCAAAGAGAUGAGAAGCAAGUCCGCCAACAAUAAGAUGACCAGGUUGGUAGUAUUCAUGUGGAAUUCUGGACAGAUCAUGGACGGUGCAACUCGUGGUAUGUUGGCACACCAGAUGUGGCAGAUGAAAGAGAAGGGGCACAAUAAACAGCAGCAUAUUGAAGCAAAUAUUCUUUCUCAUCAAAC